rnacentral:lncRNA from 1 species
CGUUCUCGUAAUGACGAUCGUGGUACACCGGCGAGAGAGUUCGCCGGAUUGAAGCCAUCUCAGAUUAUGCUAAACAUUGAUAAGCAGUUUCCAGAGAUUCAGAGCGCCGAUUCGAAGGAGCUGAUGAAGCUCAAGUCGGAAUCAGUCAAGGUCGUGGAGUUUAACUCUUUUAAGUCGCCGAUUCGGAUCCGUCGCCGCCGAGAUCUAGAAGAGAGCUGGAGGGGAAGUUGCGGAGAGAGAGAGAGAGAGAGAGAGAGAGAGAGAGAGAGAGAGAGAGAGAGAGAGAGAGAGAGAGAGAGAGAGAGAGAGAGAGAGAGAGAGAGAGAGAGAGAGAGAGAGAGAGAGAGAGAGAGUGUUGUCUCCUGCUUGGAAACACAACAUUGCAUGUUGUAUAAGAAGAUUAAUAAAGAGGUUUUGACCGAGAGAAAUCCACAGAUAAGGGGAAAAAAACACAUACUUGGAAACCUUCCUUCACGGUGUCUAGUUGGCGGGUUGGAUGUGAGAAGGGACGUCGCCAUCUUUUGGGGUCCCAGAGUAUAGUGCUGUUGAAAGCAAAUCCAGACAUAUCAACAUGGAACCUGCGUAGUCUUUUGCUCUUCUCAUUAGUGUGCCAUCCAAUUACUUGACUUCCGUUGCAUACUGGACCUUCAAGAAUUGCCUUGUUCUUGCUUGGCGCUAGCAUUGCAACAGGCCAAGUUCCAAAUCGUCUACACAGAACAAAAAGAAAUAUAUAAGUAUGAUAGAUUAAAAUGGGGGAAACAUACUUCAGAAGAAGUUUCACUCUGGAGUUGAAUAUGAAGCCGUCAGCAUUCACACUCAAUGGAAAGAAGAAAAUGCUCAGAAGACCAACAAAAGCAGGUACAUAGAGAAGUUCAAUAAAACCCUUUCCAAUAACAAGAAAUGAAGUAUUUUCUCAAACAAGAUAGGCUGAGCACAUGGAAGAGCAAGUAACAAAGCAGAGAAACAGUAAGAAUUGUAAUAUGCUACUACAAUUGAGUGUCAAACCAUAGCACUAACAACACUACAAUCACUGAGACUACUAUUACUGAGACUGCACAAUAAGAUGAAGACAAUAUAGUUCUGCUCAACUAACAAUUCAAAACAUAAGCAACACUAGAAUCACUAAGACUGCACAAUGAUGAAGACAUUAUAGUUCUGCACAACCAGCAACGAUCUAAUAUCUCUAUUCCCCACAAACCACUAGGUCGAAUCUAUGAAACAUUACAUCCACUACCACAAAUCAAAAGCAAAGAUCCACACUUUUUGCCUCACCUUAUGUGUCUCAAGCUCUGAAACAGCUCAAGCGAGUAGAUAUUAUCAUCAUCAGCAAAGUAAACAACACCAUCGAGCUUAUGCAACUCGAUAUGUUCCAACGCAGUGUUCCUCUGGUGAACACCUCUAUCCUUAAUACUCGUCGUGUUCCUCUUGCAAACCAAGUGCCUAUACAUCACCCCAGUCUUCCUCAGAAUCUCCGAGGUCUCAAACGACGCCGCAUUCCCCUCCACCACUAUCCACAGCACAGGAGGCUCCACUAGCCUCAGCGUCUGAGCAACUCUGUUCAAGUAAUACGCCUGCAUCGCUCGGUUGUACGUUGGCGUCACCACGAUUACAAGCUUCCUCGGCGCAAAAUCCUCCUCCUUCUUAUUCUUCGAUUCCGCCGAGAAGCUUACUCCGUCCACGGCUACCUCUUCCCGUCGUUUCAACGAUUCUUCGACGUUCGGCGGUUUGAUCUCGAAAUUGAACCGAUCGGUGCCGUUCACGUCAUCGAUUUGACCGUACGGUGUCAUACCUAAUACGAAUCCGAUGAGGAAGAAAGCGAGGAAUUGGUAAAACGGUCGUCGCCAUGGACCUCUGCGGGAGGCUUUGGGAUCAGAGGAGGAGCUGUGUUUGCCGCUGCUCUUCUGAGAGGGGGAUGAUGACGUGGAGGAGGGGGAGAACGGUGCGCCUCCGUUCUCGUAAUGACGAUCGUGGUACACCGGCGAGAGAGUUCGCCGGAUUGAAGCCAUCUCAGAUUAUGCUAAACAUUGAUAAGCAAUUUCCAGAGAUUCAGAGCACCGAUUCGAAGGAACUGAAGCUCAGUCAAGGUCGUGGAUUUUAACUCUUUAAGUCGCCGAUUCCGAUCCGUCGCCGCCGAGAUCUAGAAGAGAGCUGGAGGGGAAGUUGCGGAGAGAGAGAGAGAGAGAGAGAGAGAGAGAGAGAGAGCUACUACGCUGGUUCGUGGGACACG